rnacentral:rRNA from 1 species
CCUACGGGUGGCUGCAGUAAGGAAUAUUGGUCAAUGGACGAAAGUCUGAACCAGCCAUGCCGCGUGAAGGAUGAAGGUCCUCUGGAUUGUAAACUUCUUUUAUCUGGGACGAAAAAAGGGAAUUCUUUCUCACUUGACGGUACCAGAAGAAUAAGCACCGGCUAACUCCGUGCCAGCAGCCGCGGUACUACGGAGGGUGCAAGCGUUAUCCGGAUUCAAUGGGUUUAAAGGGUGCAUUGAUGGCAAGGUAUAACUCUCCGGGCUUAACCCGGAAACUGCCAUUGAUACUAUCUGUCUUGAAUACUCUGGAGGUAAGCGGAAUAUGUCAUGUAGCGGUGAAAUGCUUAGAUAUGACAUAGAACACCGAUUGCGAAGGCAGCUUACUACGGAGUCAUUGACACUGAGGCACGAAAGCGUGGGGAUCAAACAGGAUUAGAUACCCGAGUAGUC